ACGUAGGAGGCGAGCGUUAUCCGGAUUUAUUGGGCGUAAAGCGCGUGCAGGCGGCUCUGAAAGUUGGGUAUGAAAUCUCCUGGCUUAACUGGGAGAGGCUGCUCAAAACUACAGGGCUCGAGAAUGGGAGAGGGGGGUGGAAUUCCGGGUGGAGGGGUGAAAUGCGUAGAUAUGCGGAGGAACACCAGUGGCGAAAGCAGCCCCCUGGACCAGUUCUGACGCUCAUACGCGAAAGCGAGGGGAGCAAACGG
rnacentral:rRNA from 1 species